rnacentral:rRNA from 1 species
GAUAAACGCUGGCGGCGUGCCUAAUACAUGCAAGUCGAGCGGCAGCGCGAGUAGUUUACUACUUGGCGGCGAGCGGCGGACGGCUGAGUAACGCGUGGGAACGCGCCCCAAAGUGAGGAAUAACUGCCCGAAAGGGUAGCUAAUGCCGCAUAUGCUCUUCGGAGUAAAGCUUUCGAGCGCUUUGGGAGCGGCCCGCGUCCGAUUAGGUUGUUGGUGAGGUAAUGGCUCACCAAGCCGACGAUCGGUAGCUGGUCUGAGAGGAUGAUCAGCCAGACUGGGACUGAGACACGGCCCAGACUCCUACGGGAGGCAGCAGUAAGGAAUCUUCCACAAUGGGGGCAACCCUGAUGGAGCAACGCCGCGUGCAGGAUGAAGGCUUUCGGGUCGUAAACUGCUUUUAUAAGUGAAGAAUAUGACGGUAACUUAUGAAUAAGGAUCGGCUAACUACGUGCCAGCCGCCGCGGUAA